AACGUAGGUACUGAGCGUUAUCCGGAUUUACUGGGCGUAAAGCGCGUUCAGGCGGUUUGGCAAGUCGGGCAUGAAAUCUCUCGGCUCAACCGGGAGAGGUUGUCCGAUACUGCUGGACUUGAGGGCAGUAGAGGGUGGUGGAAUUCCGGGUGUAGUGGUGAAAUGCGCAGAUAUCAGGAGGAACACCAACGGCGAAGGCAGCACUCUGGGCCGGUACUGACGCUGAGGAGCGAAAGCGUGGGGAGCAAACAGG
rnacentral:rRNA from 1 species